rnacentral:rRNA from 1 species
UACGAAGGGUGCAAGCGUUACUCGGAAUUACUGGGCGUAAAGCGUGCGUAGGUGGUGAGUUAAGUCCGUCGUGAAAGCCCCGGGCUCAACCUGGGAAUGGCGAUGGAUACUGGCUCGCUAGAGUGCGGUAGAGGAGAGUGGAAUUCCCGGUGUAGCAGUGAAAUGCGUAGAGAUCGGGAGGAACAUCAGUUGCGAAGGCGGCUCUCUGGACCAGCACUGACACUGAGGCACGAAAGCGUGGGGAGCAAACAGG